CAGAAAUAAAGAGAGGGAUGAGGACACAGAGAAAGAAGCAAGAAAGGGAGGCGAUGAAAUGCGACACGGAAAAAGAAACAGAGAGAGAGGCAGAGUUCCUAAGGCUAUCCAUAGUGCGUUACAAUCAAAAGGGAAAGAGAGCAGAGUUCGUCUGAACCAUACGCCGUCCAUUCCCUUGCCAGAUUUAGACCACCAGAUCGCCGGAACUAACAUCAACAAUGAAUGAUUGAGUCCUACACCGUCAGUAGCCUCGCCAUAGCAGAAAAAUCUAUGGACCAUCAACACCGUAAGACCAUAUAGCGAUAGAGUGAGAACUACCACCGCUGUGCCAAGAGGGAGAGUUGUGAAACCAAGAGAUAGUUAUGUUGAAGACAAUGGAAGAACAAGUGUAUUUCCAUGGUUUUAGAAUGAACAGGAGGUAGAUGUGAAAAACACACCAGCAGUUUCGCUGCCGAAGAAGAAUCAUGAUUCAGUCAUGAGCCGCAUUGAUACGGAUUUCUUGCCACCACGAAUUCCUCCAUUUUAUCCUUUCGAGAAGGUCUCUGUGGAACCGAUGGUACCUUUUAAAGUAACUACAAGUAUACAUCCUUCAAAGAGUCUGAAUGCAAGUUCUGCAAAAGUUCACUGUUGUGUUGCUUCUGCAGUAUACAAUUAGCUUUUCUCAUGAAAAUUUUAUUGGUGAAGGUAUGCUUGGUAGUGUUUAUUUGGGUAAGCUGCCCGAUUGAAAGGUAAGAUUCUUUUAACUUAAUAAGAACUAAUUUGCCAGGAUGAUGGCGUGGUUGUUUGAUUGUGUGGCUUCUACUUCAGAAUGCCUCAUGUACAUUUGUAUUUGUUGUCUUUUUUUCCCCUUCAUCUUCUCUAUCCUCAUUAGGAGUAGGAGAGUAGUCGAGAAAUAGCCAUAGACAAAUAAGAAAAUGUUUUAGUGAAGUUUAGAAGAAUACAAAAAUUGUCAAUAUCCUCUUGCUUCAAGAAAUUUAUGGAAAAGGAUUGUGCUAAAAAGCAUCAACCAAAUGUACAUGGCUUAGGAAAAGAGUAGGUAACUGUAGAUUUCUCUGUGAGAUUUCACAAAUGUAACUUUGAUUUAGUUCCAUAA